UCCGGGUUGGUCCCGGCGGUCCGGCCAGACCUAGUAACUGGCCGCGGGGGUUGCGCUCGUUGCGGGACUUAACCCAACACCUCACGACACGAGCUGACGACAGCCAUGCAGCAUCUGUGGUGCACCCUCGAAGGUCACACGUUUCCGUGCGCUUGCAGCACCAUGUCAAGCCCAGGUAAGGUUCUUCGCGUUGCAUCGAAUUAAACCACAUGCUCCACCGCUUGUGCGGACCCCCGCCAAUUCCUUUGAGUUUUAGUCUUGCGACCGUACUUCCCAGGCGGAGAACUUAAUGCGUUAGCUUCGGCACCGCGGGGGUCAACUCCCACGACACCUAGUUCUCAUCGUUUACGGCGUGGACUAC
rnacentral:misc_RNA from 1 species